rnacentral:rRNA from 1 species
GACAGAGGGGGCAAGCGUUGCUCGGAAUUACUGGGCGUAAAGGGCGCGUAGGCGGGAUGGCAAGUCGGUCGUGAAAUCCUUCGGCUCAACCGAAGAACGUCGAUCGAUACUGCUGUUCUUGAGGGUUGCAGAGGAGACUGGAAAUCCCGGUGUAGCGGUGAAAUGUGUAGAGAUCGGGAGGAACACCGGUGGCGAAGGCGGGUCUCUGGGCAAUUCCUGACGCUGAGGCGUGAAAGCGUGGGGAGCAAACGGG